rnacentral:rRNA from 1 species
GACGAACGCUGGCGGCGUGCCUAAUACAUGCCAGUAGAACGCACAGUUUAUACCGUAGCUUGCUACACCAUAAACUGUGAGUUGCGAACGGGUGAGUAACGCGUAGGUAACCUGCCUGGUAGCGGGGGAUAACUAUUGGAAACGAUAGCUAAUACCGCAUAAUAUUGAUUAUUGCAUGGUAAUUGAUUGAAAGAUGCUAUUGCAUCACUACCAGAUGGACCUGCGUUGUAUUAGCUAGUAGGUGAGGUAACGGCUCACCUAGGCGACGAUACAUAGCCGACCUGAGAGGGUGAUCGGCCACACUGGGACUGAGACACGGCCCAGACUCCUACGGGAGGCAGCAGUAGGGAAUCUUCGGCAAUGGACGAAAGUCUGACCGAGCAACGCCGCGUGAGUGAAGAAGGUUUUCGGAUCGUAAAGCUCUGUUGUAAGAGAAGAACGGGUGUGAGAGUGGAAAGUUCACACUGUGACGGUAUCUUACCAGAAAGGGACGGCUAACUACGUG